rnacentral:piRNA from 1 species
UCUGAUGUGAUACAAGUAAGCCCUGAAGU